rnacentral:rRNA from 1 species
GAUCCUGGCUCAGGACGAACGCUGGCGGCGUGCUUCAUACAUGCAAGUCGAACGAUAAGGUCUCUUCGGAGAUACAUAAGUGGCGGACGGGUGAGUAACAUGUAGAGAAUCUGCCCUAGAGCGGGGGACAACAGAGGGAAACUUCUGCUAAUACCCCAUAUGAGCGUAGCUGAGAUGCUAUUCUUGAAAACUCCGGUGCUCUGGGAUGAGUCUGCAUCUGAUUAGCUAGUUGGCGGUGUAAUGGACCACCAAGGCGACGAUCAGUAGCUGGUUUGAGAGGAUGAUCAGCCACAAUGGGACUGAGACACGGCCCAUACUCCUACGGGAGGCAGCAGUAGGGAAUUUUGCGCAAUGGGGGCAACCCUGAACCGCAGCAACGCCGCGUGACCGAUGAAGCCCUUCGGGGUGUAAAGGUCUGUCAGUGGGGACGAAACUUGACGGUACCCACAGAGGAAGCAUCGGCUAACUCCGUGCCAGCCGCCGC